rnacentral:rRNA from 1 species
GCAGUCGAGCGGAGAGAGGUAGCUUGCUACUGAUCUUAGCGGCGGACGGGUGAGUAAUGCUUAGGAAUCUGCCUAUUAGUGGGGGACAACAUUUCGAAAGGAAUGCUAAUACCGCAUACGUCCUACGGGAGAAAGCAGGGGAUCUUCGGACCUUGCGCUAAUAGAUGAGCCUAAGUCGGAUUAGCUAGUUGGUGGGGUAAAGGCCUACCAAGGCGACGAUCUGUAGCGGGUCUGAGAGGAUGAUCCGCCACACUGGGACUGAGACACGGCCCAGACUCCUACGGGAGGCAGCAGUGGGGAAUAUUGGACAAUGGGCGCAAGCCUGAUCCAGCCAUGCCGCGUGUGUGAAGAAGGCCUUAUGGUUGUAAAGCACUUUAAGCGAGGAGGAGGCUACUUUAGUUAAUACCUAGAGAUAGUGGACGUUACUCGCAGAAUAAGCACCGGCUAACUCUGUGCCAGCAGCCGCGGUAAUACAGAGGGUGCAAGCGUUAAUCGGAUUUACUGGGCGUAAAGCGCGCGUAGGCGGCUAAUUAAGUCAAAUGUGAAAUCCCCGAGCUUAACUUGGGAAUUGCAUUCGAUACUGGUUAGCUAGAGUGUGGGAGAGGAUGGUAGAAUUCCAGGUGUAGCGGUGAAAUGCGUAGAGAUCUGGAGGAAUACCGAUGGCGAAGGCAGCCAUCUGGCCUACACUGACGCUGAGGUGCGAAGCAUGGGGAGCAACAGGAUAGAUACCUGGUAGUCAUGCCGUAACGAGUCUACUAGCCGUGGGGCCUUGAGC